CGGGUGAGUAAUGUAUCGGAACGUGCCUAGUAGCGGGGGAUAGCCCGGCGAAAGCCGGAUUAAUACCGCAUACGCCCUAAGGGGGAAAGGGGGGGAUCGCAAGACCUCUCACUAUUGGAGCGGCCGAUGGCUGAUUAGCUAGUUGGUGGGGUAAAGGCCUACCAAGGCAACGAUCAGUAGCUGGUCUGAGAGGAUGGUCAGCCACACUGGGACUGAGACACGGCCCAGACUCC
rnacentral:rRNA from 1 species